UUGUUUCAGUGGGGUUAAUAAUAAAGUGAGAACCAGGAAGCUGUGUGUUGGGAGUGAUUGGAGGUCAGUGAGAAAGUUGUGCGUGCUGUACCAGUGUUUCUGAACCGAGUACACGAAGCGCCACUGCUCGGGUCUGCCGGCAAUCCUGUCAUGAAACAGAGCCAGCUAUCUGCCGCCAAGCGGUUCGGCAAGCCAGUACUUUUCGGUACGAUCCUCGUUGGACUGGCGUCCGCUUUCUUAAACAGACACAAGUUCUUUCCAGAUGUAGAGGAGGUGCGUGCUCGAGAACGUGCAGAGUACAACGAGAAGCUCCUGGAUGUUGUGGAGCGGCGGCAGAGGCAGAUGGAUCAACUGGCACAGAAGAAGCCUCCUUCAGGGUGACGGGGCAGCACGGCUGCCAACCAGACGAGCCCCCAGUUUGCUUUCCUUGGAAGUUGCCUUCUGUUUAAGACAGUGGCAGUAUUGUGUUCUUGUUUUUUUUUUUUCUUAUUUAUAUAUAAAGGACACUGAUUGUGAGUGCUAAUAAACUGGACUAAUUCCAAGCACACAACCUGACAAGUACAGCAUUUAAUGAGAGAAUAAAAAAGAGAAAGGAAGUGGGGAAAACAAGUUGCAUUCUUUAAAGUCUGUUCAGUUAAGGUCAGGAAUGAUACAUAUUGUAAUCAUGAGGGAAUCUGGCUCAGUUAACAGUAAAGUAAGGUUUUAAUCUGGGCCAGUGCAUGUAAUGGAGUGACUAUUAAUAUUUUACAAUAUAUGAGGGACAUGCAGGACCAACCCAUGUCAGUAAAUGCUUGUAUUUAGUAUUGAUUUUGGGCACUAAACUAGCACUGCUACGUUAGGGUCUGUGAAACCAGCUGUAAAUGUUCCCAACACUUUGUUGUGCAUGUUGGAAUGUGCUGAAUAAGCAAACAGCGCUUUAUCAUUGUUUCUGGAGAAGUUUAAAGAUGGUCAGCCUAUGGCUUUAAAAAAAAAAAAUGUUUUCAUAGCCUAUUUCCACCAGCAGGUGCCAUCAUUGUUUUUUUCCCAGCCCGUUGUGGGAUCACAAUGUAGGAGCAGCAACAGCAAGCCUGCCCUGCAAUUCCAGUAGGAAGCGUGCUAUUACAGAUAUUUGAAUACUCAUUACAAACAUGGCUUGAAAUGGAUUCAGUGGUACACAUGAUGUCCGUAUUGGUUCAUAUAACAGCACAUAAAUGAAUGUAAUGGAAAGUGUUAUGAAAGGAAACCUAAUGCAUAAAUGAGGUCUGUAAUAAACCACACAUUCUACAGUGCA